AGGUCAUGUACUAGAAGUCUACAAGCCAUGGAUGGAGCCAAUGAGAGUCAACCCACUUGCCACGGGCCUCUAGUGAUUAACAAGCUACGGCCCAGAAAGCCAGUUCCACCAGGAGCUCCCUUGCCAGCCAUCCACACCUCAUAACGGGCAGACCGAAGCAGCCGACCCUCGAGACCCAGUCGGAGCCUGCGAUCACUCGGGCGACCCUCGCCUACCCCGCCGUAAAAGCCGCGGCCUUUCCACCUAGGUGCUACGGGACCUACCCCCGUGGCAAGGAAGAGCAAACCCGAACUUGCGCACACCCGGCGGCCCUGUCUGAAAGAGCCACCCCAACUUUUGUUUUGUAAAAUGUAUGAGUUUUCAAAUGA
ensembl:lncRNA novel transcript, antisense to CERS2